GACAGAGGGUGCAAACGUUGCUCGGAAUCACUGGGCGUAAAGGGCGUGUAGGCGGGAAUGUAAGUCGGGCGUGAAAUCCCUAGGCUCAACCUAGGAACUGCACUCGAAACUGCGUUUCUUGAGUAUCGGAGAGGAAAGCGGAAUACUUGGUGUAGAGGUGAAAUUCGUAGAUAUCAGGUGGAACACAAGUGGCGAAGGCGGCUUUCUGGACGAUAACUGACGCUGAGACGCGAAAGCGUGGGGAGCAAACAGG
rnacentral:rRNA from 1 species